rnacentral:lncRNA from 1 species
UGUCUCGAAGUAGCAUUAGGAAAUGGACAUCUCCCGGUUGUGACUAAGUGUCGGUGUGUGCCCCGGUAUGAAGCCCCUAAACUAUGUUCACUCCAUACUAAGGUGGUCAUGGACGACUAACGCAGCUACCACGAUCUUCUCAUUGUCGGAUGAAGAAUCAUUCGAAAAACAAAGAACGUUGUAGAAAAAAACUCAUCGACGGAGUCCAUUAGUACCUUGCGAGUAAAGCGUCAAACAACUUGCGGGCGUCUUGGAGCCGGUAAGGAGCCUCGCGCCCCACCGAGACAAUGUAGCAGAGUUGGGCGGCGAUGACAGCUACAGCAGGAGAUGAGGCUGCUGGGAGGGUG